rnacentral:miRNA from 1 species
CAGCAGACACAUUCCAGCCAAUCAGCAGCAGACCCUCCCUCCCAGAUCCUCCCACCUCCUGUACAGCAUCCAUUUUACAUUCAUUGUGAAGCUGCAUUCUUAGUGAGCUGUCCAGGAGGUGGGAGAGUCUGGGAGGGAGGGUCUGCUGCUGAUUGGCUGGAAUGUGUCUGCUG